rnacentral:lncRNA from 7 species
GAAAGCUGCUGUCUGAGGGAGCUGCUGUGACUUUCCUAGAGACCUCCUGUUGCCAUGAGGGUGUUGCAUUUAUGUUGUGUGUUGAUUGGCAGGAAUCUACUACUGACCGUUGUUCCAACUGCUUUUUCUCUGCUCUCUUAAUGUGCUGAGGUUAUUUCCUAACAAAACAGAAUGUGCUCAUGUCAGCAAGAAGGGGGAAAAAAGCAAAUGUGGAGGAAAAAUAAAUGAUUUCAAGUGAAGUGAAAAAGGGAGCUGUGGGUCAAAAGCUUAAAAGUAUUGAAGUGAGCAACCCAGAGGGAAAGUGAACAGGCAUCAUCAGUAACUCCCUGCAUUUCCCACGGUUGUCCAAGGAUGUGCAAGUGCAAGGCAAGGAAAGGGCAGAGAGAAAUCUGCAGGAAGAGGAUCUACAUCCAGCAUGGUCCCCUCCCAAGCAGCAGGGCUUUUCUGCCUUGCAUGCUGGCCUACAGAGAGCUUAGGACUGCAAUGUGUGACCUGGAGAAAUUAUCAAAAGAGAUAAGGAUCAAGAAUCCCUGAAAAGAAUCUGAACUGAAAGAAUUCUGUUAUUUCUGACAGACUCCUAAAUGAGCUGUAAUAGAGAUCAAUACACCAUACAAUCUUAUCAGGAGAUUGUUAUCCCACAAAACCCUAAAUAAUAUCAGUUUCCCUAUAACAUGUCUUGCAUGAGUUUCUAAAUACCUUCCAAAAAUCAAAACUAAAAAAUAUCCUAUUGGAAGAUCUGAAUUUUGAAACUUCUUUUCAAUUAUGCAAAUCAGAACGUAUAUGAUGUGAAGAAGAUAUCUACAAUCUCAAAAGUGAACAAUAUAAUUCAAUUUCUAAGUGCACAGAAUUUAUUGACAAAAGCUAAGUGCAACUGCUUACUGCAUAGAAGGAAUCAAGCUGCAGACUUACACAGCGUGUACUAUAAACUACGAACACAAGUGAGAAUGUUGAAGAGAAAAAUGGAAUUUCCUUUCUUUUAACCAAUAAAUAAAUUCAGUGAGGUGCUAAAGGUUUUGCUCCUAUCUGAAAAGUGUUGGAGCAAGAAACUGUCAGUGUGAUAAACGUAAUU